UACGAAGGGGGCUAGCGUUGUUCGGAUUUACUGGGCGUAAAGCGCACGUAGGCGGAUCGUUAAGUUGGGGGUGAAAUCCUGGAGCUCAACUCCAGGACUGCCUUCAAUACUGGCGAUCUAGAGUCCGGAAGAGGUGAGUGGAACUCCUAGUGUAGAGGUGGAAUUCGUAGAUAUUAGGAAGAACACCAGUGGCGAAGGCGGCUCACUGGUCCGGUACUGACGCUGAGGUGCGAAAGCGUAGGGAGCAAACAGG
rnacentral:rRNA from 1 species